rnacentral:rRNA from 1 species
AGCUCCAAUAGCGCAUACUAAAGUUGUUGCAGUUAAAAAGCUCGUAGUCGAAUUUCCGGGGCGGCGGGAGGGUCCCCUUCACUGGGCGACCUGUCCUUGUCCAGCCUCUAACCUUGCGGUGAAGCCCCGGUUGUUCACUCAGCCGGGAGGGAGCCGCAUCAUUUACUGUGAGAAAAUUAGAGUGUUUAAAGCAGGCUUUCCGCUUGAAUACGUCAGCAUGGGAUAAUGAGAUAGGACGUUGGUGCUAUUUCGUUGGUUGCGCACCAGUGUAAUGAUUAAUGGAGAGGAUUGGGGUGGGCGCAAUUUAACUGUCAGAGGUGAAAUUCUUGGAUUUGUUAAGGGGCAACUACUGCGAAAGCAGUCCACACGAGCCUUCUCG